GACGGAGGAUGCAAGUGUUAUCCGGAAUCACUGGGCGUAAAGCGUCUGUAGGCGGUUUAAUAAGUCAACUGUUAAAUCUUGAGGCUCAACCUCAAAAUCGCAGUCGAAACUAUUAGACUAGAGUAUAGUAGGGGUAAAGGGAAUUUCCAGUGGAGCGGUGAAAUGCGUAGAGAUUGGAAAGAACACCGAUGGCGAAGGCACUUUACUGGGCUAUUACUAACACUCAGAGACGAAAGCUAGGGUAGCAAAUGGG
rnacentral:rRNA from 1 species